CCUACGGGAGGCAGCAGUGAGGAAUAUUGGUCAAUGGACGAGAGUCUGAACCAGCCAAGUAGCGUGAAGGAUGACUGCCCUAUGGGUUGUAAACUUCUUUUAUAUGGGAAUAAAACGUUCCACGUGUGGGAUUUUGUAUGUACCAUAUGAAUAAGGAUCGGCUAACUCCGUGCCAGCAGCCGCGGUAAUACGGAGGAUCCGAGCGUUAUCCGGAUUUAUUGGGUUUAAAGGGAGCGUAGGUGGAUUGUUAAGUCAGUUGUGAAAGUUUGCGGCUCAACCGUAAAAUUGCAGUUGAAACUGGCAGUCUUGAGUACAGUAGAGGUGGGCGGAAUUCGUGGUGUAGCGGUGAAAUGCUUAGAUAUCACGAAGAACUCCGAUGGCGAAGGCAGUUCACUGGACUGCAACUGACACUGAGGCUCGAAAGUGUGGGUAUCAAACAGGAUUAGAUACCCUUGUAGUC
rnacentral:rRNA from 1 species